GACGAACGCUGGCGGCGUGCUUAAUACAUGCAAGUCGAACGGAAAGGCCCUGCUUUUGUGGGGUGCUCGAGUGGCGAACGGGUGAGUAACACGUGAGUAACCUGCCCUUGACUUUGGGAUAACUUCAGGAAACUGGGGCUCAUACCGGAUAGGAUCUCCUGCUGCAUGGUGUGGAUUGGAAAGUUUCGGCGGUUGGGGAUGGACUCGCGGCUUAUCAGCUUGUUAGUGGGGUUGUUGCUUACCAAGGCUUUGACGGGUAGCCGGCCUGAGAGGGUGACCGGCCACAAUGGGACUGAGAGACGGAGCAGAAGGCUACGGGAGGCAGUAGGGGGAAAUAUUGCAGAAUGAGCGGGAGCGUGAGACAGAAACGCCGCGUGCGGGAUGACGGGCUUCGGGUGGUAAACAGAUGUCGCAGGUAACGAAGAGAGAGUGACGGUAAUGGAUAAGAAAGCAACGGCUAACUACGUG
rnacentral:rRNA from 1 species